GAAUGACUCCUGGCAAUGGAUAUCUUGGCUCUCGUGUCUAUGAAGAACGUAGCGAAAUGCGACACUUGGUGUGAAUUGCAGAAUCCCGUGAACCAUCGAGUCUUUGAAUGCAAGUUGCGCACGAGGCCAUUAGGUCGAGUGCACGUCUGUUUGGGCGUCAUGU
rnacentral:rRNA from 1 species